rnacentral:rRNA from 1 species
GAUGAACGCUGGCGGCGUGCCUAAUACAUGCAAGUCGAGCGAACGGACGAGAAGCUUGCUUCUCUGAUGUUAGCGGCGGACGGGUGAGUAACACGUGGAUAACCUACCUAUAAGACUGGGAUAACUUCGGGAAACCGGAGCUAAUACCGGAUAAUAUUUUGAACCGCAUGGUUCAAAAGUGAAAGACGGUCUUGCUGUCACUUAUAGAUGGAUCCGCGCUGCAUUAGCUAGUUGGUAAGGUAACGGCUUACCAAGGCAACGAUGCAUAGCCGACCUGAGAGCGUGAUCGGCCACCCGGGAACUGAGACACGGUCCAGACUCCUACGGGAGGCAGCAGUAGGGAAUCUUCCGCAAUGGGCGAAAGCCUGACGGAGCAACGCCGCGUGAGUGAUGAAGGUCUUCGGAUCGUAAAACUCUGUUAUUAGGGAAGAACAUAUGUGUAAGUAACUGUGCACAUCUUGACGGUACCUAAGCAGAAAGCCACGGCUAACUACGUG